UAACGGCAGUUAGAUGCUGAUUUAAUUUAAAUAAUAAGUAAAAGUUCAUACCGUAAAAUAAAAAACCAUCGCGUCGCGAAAACAUGAAAAAAAAUGAUCUAAGUAAAAUUUUUUCGAAAGUGAUUUAGUGUACAAGUGUGACAAAGAAAAAUCUAUUGUUUCUUCAAGUCAACAAAAGAAGAUCGGCGUCGUUUCUAUUAUUCAAACUGAAUCCGGAUAUUAAAUCACUGGCAAUAAUCCGCCCAAGUUUGAUACAGGAUUAAGGUUAUACUCUACCAUCUCCAUUGUAAGUCAUCCCAGCACCAUGAGGACAUAAUGAUUCAAAUUCUGGUGUCCGAGGCAU